GACGAACGCUGGCGGCGUGCUUAACACAUGCAAGUCGAACGAUGAAGCCGGAGCUUGCUCUGGUGAAUUAGUGGCGAACGGGUGAGUAACACGUGAGUAACCUGCCCUUGACUCUGGGAUAACUGCGGGAAACUGUAGCUAAUACCGGAUACGACCCUCGGAGGCAUCUCCUGGGGUGGAAAGAAUUUCGGUCAAGGAUGGACUCGCGGCCUAUCAGCUAGUUGUUGAGGUAAAGGCUCACCAAGGCGACGACGGGUAGCCGGCCUGAGAGGGUGACCGGCCACACGGGGAGUGAGACACGGGCCAGACUACUACGGGAGGCAGCAGUGGGGAAUAUUGCACAAUGGGCGCAAGCCUGAGGGAGCAACGCCGCGUGAGGGAUGACGGCCUUCGGGUUGUAAACCUCUUUUAGCAGGGAAGAAGCGAAAGUGACGGUACCUGCAGAAAAAGCACCGGCUAACUACGUGCCAGCCGCCGCGGUAA
rnacentral:rRNA from 1 species